rnacentral:rRNA from 1 species
AUGGAGGUGCAGGCCCAAGUACUUCGAAUCAUCAACAAGAAAUCCAAGAAAGAACAGCGAAGGAAAAACGUGACAAGAAAAGUGUUUUCUCGACUCGAGAUGUUAGAAGGUGCUAAAUCAAUAGGUGUCGGAGCUGCUACAAUUGCUUUAGCCGGAGCUACUGUCGGUAUUGGAAAUGUCCUCAGUUCUUUGAUUCAUUCCGUGGCGCGAAAUCCAUCAUUGGCUAAACAAUCAUUUGGUUAUGCCAUUUUGGGCUUUGCUCUCACUGAAGCUAUUGCAUUGUUUGCCCCAAUGAUGGCCUUUCUGAUCUCAUUCGUUUUCCGAUCGCAUAAAAAGUCAUGA